rnacentral:rRNA from 1 species
ACGCUGGCGGCGUGCUUAACACAUGCAAGUCGAACGAUGAAGCUGGAGCUUGCUCCGGUGGAUUAGUGGCGAACGGGUGAGUAACACGUGAGAAAUCUGCCCUUGACUCUGGGAUAACUGCGGGAAACUGUAGCUAAUACCGGAUACUUUCCCUGGUGGGCAUCCACUGGGGAAGAAAGAAUUUCGGUCAAGGAUGAUCUCGCGGCCUAUCAGCUAGUUGGUGAGGUAAUGGCUCACCAAGGCGACGACGGGUAGCCGGCCUGAGAGGGUGACCGGCCACACUGGAACUGAGACACGGUCCAGACUCCUACGGGAGGCAGCAGUGGGGAAUAUUGCACAAUGGGCGCAAGCCUGAUGCAGCAACGCCGCGUGAGGGAUGAAGGCCUUCGGGUUGUAAACCUCUUUUUAGCAGGGAAGAAGCGAAAGUGACGGUACCUGCAGAAAAAGCACCGGCUAACUACGUG